rnacentral:rRNA from 1 species
AUUGAACGCUGGCGGCAUGCCUUACACAUGCCAGUCGAACGGCAGCACGGGUGCUUGCACCUGGUGGCGAGUGGCGAACGGGUGAGUAAUACAUCGGAACAUGUCCUGUAGUGGGGGAUAGCCCGGCGAAAGCCGGAUUAAUACCGCAUACGAUCUACGGAUGAAAGCGGGGGACCUUCGGGCCUCGCGCUAUAGGGUUGGCCGAUGGCUGAUUAGCUAGUUGGUGGGGUAAAGGCCUACCAAGGCGACGAUCAGUAGAUGGUCUGAGAGGACGACCAGCCACACUGGGACUGAGACACGGCCCAGACUCCUACGGGAGGCAGCAGUGUGGAAUUUUGGACAAUGGGCGAAAGCCUGAUCCAGCAAUGCCGCGUGUGUGAAGAAGGCCUUCGGGUUGUAAAGCACUUUUGUCCGGAAAGAAAUCCUUGGCUCUAAUACAGUCGGGGGAUGACGGUACCGGAAGAAUAAGCACCGGCUAACUACGUG